rnacentral:rRNA from 1 species
CGACGGGUGAGUAACGCGUAAGAACUUGCCCUUUAGACUGGGAUAACAGAGGGAAACUUCUGAUAAUACUGGAUAAGUUAGUAUAUCGCAUGAUAUGCAAAUGAAAGCUACGGCGCUAAAGGAGAGCUUUGCGUCCUAUUAGCUAGUUGGUAAGGUAAGAGCUUACCAAGGCGAUGAUAGGUAGCCGGCCUGAGAGGGUGGACGGCCACAAGGGGACUGAGAUACGGCCCUUACUCCUACGGGAGGCAGCAGAC